GUGCUCACUUCGGCAACACAUGCGCUAAAAUUGGAACGAAACAGAAGAUUAGCACGGCCCCUGCGCAACGAUGACACGCAAAUUCUGAAGCGUUCCGUGUUUUU